rnacentral:rRNA from 1 species
UGGCUCAGGAUGAACGCUGGCGGCGUGCCUAAUACAUGCAAGUCGAGCGAACAGAUAAGGAGCUUGCUCCUUUGACGUUAGCGGCGGACGGGUGAGUAACACGUGGAUAACCUACCUAUAAGACUGGGAUAACUUCGGGAAACCGGAGCUAAUACCGGAUAACAUAUUGAACCGCAUGGUUCAAUAGUGAAAGGCGGCUUUGCUGUCACUUAUAGAUGGAUCCGCGCCGUAUUAGCUAGUUGGUAAGGUAACGGCUUACCAAGGCAACGAUACGUAGCCGACCUGAGAGGGUGAUCGGCCACACUGGAACUGAGACACGGUCCAGACUCCUACGGGAGGCAGCAGUAGGGAAUCUUCCGCAAUGGGCGAAAGCCUGACGGAGCAACGCCGCGUGAGUGAUGAAGGUCUUCGGAUCGUAAAACUCUGUUAUCAGGGAAGAACAAAUGUGUAAGUAACUGUGCACAUCUUGACGGUACCUGAUCAGAAAGCCACGGCUAACUACGUGCCAG